rnacentral:rRNA from 1 species
UACGAAGGGGGCGAGCGUUGUUCGGAUUUACUGGGCGUAAAGGGCGCGCAGGCGGCCAUUCAAGUCAGGCGUGAAAGCCCCCGGGCUUAACCUGGGAGGUGCGCUUGGGACUGGGUGGCUAGAGAUCGGGAGAGGAGAGUGGAAUUCCCAGUGUAGAGGUGAAAUUCGUAGAUAUUGGGAAGAACACCGGUGGCGAAGGCGGCUCACUGGACCGGUACUGACGCUGAGGCGGCGAAAAGCGUGGGGAGCAAACAGG